UUAGUUGCGUGUCUAUUGUGCGCUAGUCGCACCGUUCCGCGAACUGCACGGGAACGGCGGCGGCAACAUCAUCGAAUUGCUGGGAAACCUCGAUAGGCCGGAGCUACUAAAGGCUCGGGGAAACCCGGGUCAAAUCGAGCUUAGACGCUCGAAGUGAAAAUGCUUCGGAUAGAGGCAAUCAGCAGCCAAGCGCCUAAAGCCGCGUGUAUUACAGUGUAUUACAGUUGGGUAUACAUGUAUUGCAAGCGGUCACGGUGAAGGUCCAGAGACUAAGUGGUGAUGGGUGUCGGCGCGGUUGACCGCGCCGAUGCUUAAGAUAUAGUCCGCCCCUCUUGAGAGAGAGCU
rfam:Aureococcus anophagefferens unplaced genomic scaffold ATRANscaffold_2, whole genome shotgun sequence.